rnacentral:rRNA from 1 species
UGGGCUAGUUCGGCACGAGCGCAACCCUUAUCCUUUGUUGCCAGCACGUAAUGGUGGGAACUCAAAGGAGACUGCCGGUGAUAAACCGGAGGAAGGUGGGGAUGACGUCAAGUCAUCAUGGCCCUUACGAGUAGGGCUACACACGUGCUACAAUGGCAGAUACAAAGAGAAGCGACCUCGCGAGAGCAAGCGGAACUCAUAAAGUCUGUCGUAGUCCGGAUUGGAGUCUGCAACUCGACUCCAUGAAGUCGGAAUCGCUAGUAAUCGUAGAUCAGAAUGCUACGGUGAAUACGUUCCCGGGCCUUGUACACACCGCCCGU